AUUGAACGCUGGCGGCAGGCCUAACACAUGCAAGUCGAGCGGAUGAAGGGAGCUUGCUCCUGGAUUCAGCGGCGGACGGGUGAGUAAUGCUUAGGAAUCUGCCAGGUAGUGGGGGAUAACGUCCGGAAACGGGCGCUAAUACCGCAUACGUCCUGCGGGAGAAAGUGGGGGAUGUUCGGACCUCACGCUCUCAGAUGAGCCUAGGUCGGAUUAGCUAGUUGGUGGGGUAAAGGCCUACCAAGGCGACGAUCCGUAACUGGUCUGAGAGGAUGAUCAGUCACACUGGAACUGAGACACGGUCCAGACUCCUACGGGAGGCAGCAGUGGGGAAUAUUGGACAAUGGGCGAAAGCCUGAUCCAGCCAUGCCGCGUGUGUGAAGAAGGUCUUCGGAUUGUAAAGCACUUUAAGUUGGGAGGAAGGGCAGUAAGUUAAUACCUUGCUGUUUUGACGUUACCAACAGAAUAAGCACCGGCUAACUUCGUG
rnacentral:rRNA from 1 species